rnacentral:rRNA from 1 species
UACGGAGGAUGCAAGCGUUAUCCGGAAUGAUUGGGCGUAAAGCGUCCGCAGGUGGCUGUGUAAGUCUGCUGUUAAAUAGUGAGGCUCAACCUCAUAAGAGCAGUGGAAACUACAUAGCUAGAGUACGUUCGGGGCAGAGGGAAUUCCUGGUGUAGCGGUGAAAUGCGUAGAGAUCAGGAGGAACACCAGUGGCGAAGGCGCUCUGCUAGGCCGUAACUGACACUGAGGGACGAAAGCUAGGGGAGCGAAUGGG